GACGAACGCUGGCGGCGUGCUUAACACAUGCAAGUCGAGCGGUAAGGCCCUUUCGGGGGUACACGAGCGGCGAACGGGUGAGUAACACGUGGGUGACCUGCCCUCAGCUCUGGGAUAAGCCUGGGAAACCGGGUCUAAUACUGGAUAUGACUCCAUGACGCAUGUUGUGGGGUGGAAAGCCUUUGUGCGGCUGAGGAUGGGGCCCGCGGCCUAUCAGCUUGUUGGGUGGGGUGAGGCCUACCAAGGCGACGACGGGUAGCCGGCCUGAGAGGGCGACCGGCCACGACUGGGACUGAGACACGGCCCAGACUCCUACGGGAGGCAGCAGUGGGGAAUCUUGCGCAAUGGGCGAAAGCCUGACGCAGCGAGGCCGCGUGA
rnacentral:rRNA from 1 species